rnacentral:rRNA from 1 species
GACGAACGCUGGCGGCGUGCUUAACACAUGCAAGUCGAACGAAGAGGCGAACGGGUGAGUAAUACGUGGGUAACCUGCCCUCCUUUUUGGGAUAAGCCUUGGAAACGGGGUCUAAUACCGAAUAAAGGGGGAUGGGCUCGGGGCCUAUCGGUUGGUUGGUGGGGUGAUGGCCUACCAAGGCGGUGACGGGUAGCCGGCCUGAGAGGGGGAGCGGCCACACUAGGAUUGAGAGACGGGUCAGACUCCUACUGGAGGCAGCAGUGGGGGAUAUUGCACAAUGGGCGAAAGCCUGAUGCAGCGACGCCGCGUGGGGGAUGAAGGCUUGCGGGUUUUAAACCUCUUUCGAGAUCGAACGGGUAGUUGGAUAAGAAGCGCCGGCUAACUACGUGCCAGCAGCCGCGGUAAUUC